GCGCCCGUCGUUGGGGAGUAGCUAAUUUUCUGUUUUCAGAAAAUGUACGUGUCAACAUACUCGUUGAAAAACGUGGCGCGUACGGAUCGUUUGUAGCACGGUUUACGUGCGUCACGGUCAGGCGAGACCAUAGAUACAUCAACUGCUGUUUACUGGGGGCAGUGAUGUGUCAUAUGGAUAUCCCCGGUCU
rnacentral:sRNA from 1 species